rnacentral:rRNA from 1 species
CCUACGGGAGGCAGCAGUGAGGAAUAUUGGUCAAUGGACGAGAGUCUGAACCAGCCAAGUAGCGUGAAGGAUGACUGCCCUAUGGGUUGUAAACUUCUUUUAUAUGGGAAUAAAAUGUUCCACGUGUGGGAUUUUGUAUGUACCAUAUGACUAAGGCUCGGCUAACUCCGUGCCAGCAGCCGCGGUAAUACGGAGGAUCCGAGCGUUAUCCGGAUUUAUUGGGUUUAAAGGGUGCGUAGGUGGAUUGUUAAGUCAGUUGUGAAAGUUUGCGGCUCAACCGUAAAAUUGCAGUUGAAACUGGCAGUCUUGAGUACAGUAGAGGUGGGCGGAAUUCGUGGUGUAGCGGUGAAAUGCUUAGAUAUCACGAAGAACUCCGAUUGCGAAGGCAGUUCACUGGACUGCAACUGACACUGAGGCUCGAAAGUGUGGGUAUCAAACAGGAUUAGAUACCCUAGUAGUC